UACCCCCUACUGUGGGAUAGCCCAGAGAAAUUUGGAUUAAGACCACAUGGUACCAUUUUACGGCAUCGUAUUAAUGGUUAAAGGUUACGGUAGGGGAUGAGUAUGCGUCCCAUUAGUUAGUUGGCGAGGUAACGGCUCACCAAGACCGCGAUGGGUAGGGGCCCUGAGAGGGGGAUCCCCCACACUGGUACUGAGACACGGACCAGACUCCUACGGGAGGCAGCAGUGAGGAAUAUUGGACAAUGGGCGGGAGCCUGAUCCAGCCAUGCCGCGUGCAGGAAGAAUGCCCUAUGGGUAGUAAACUGCUUUUAUACGGGAAGAAAAAGAGCUACGUGUAGCUUACUGACGGUACCGUAAGAAUAAGGACCGGCUAACUCCGUGCCAGCAGCCGCGGUAAUACGGAGGGUCCGAGCGUUAUCCGGAAUUAUUGGGUUUAAAGGGUCCGUAGGCGGGCCGAUAAGUCAGUGGUGAAAGUUUGCAGCUCAACUGUAAAAUUGCCUUUGAUACUGUCGGUCUUGAGUUAUAGUGAAGUUGCCGGAAUAUGUAGUGUAGCGGUGAAAUGCAUAGAUAUUACAUAGAACACCGAUUGCGAAGGCAGGUGACUAACUAUAUACUGACGCUGAUGGACGAAAGCGUGGGGAGCGAACAGGAUUAGAUACCCUGGUAGUCCACGCCGUAAACGAUGGAUACUAGCUGUCCGGGUCCUUGAGACCUGGGCGGCCAAGCGAAAGUGAUAAGUAUCCCACCUGGGGAGUACGUUCGCAAGAAUGAAACUCAAAGGAAUUGACGGGGGCCCGCACAAGCGGUGGAGCAUGUGGUUUAAUUCGAUGAUACGCGAGGAACCUUACCAGGGCUUAAAUGCAUUUUGACAGGGGUAGAGAUACCUUUUCCUUCGGGCAAUUUGCAAGGUGCUGCAUGGUUGUCGUCAGCUCGUGCCGUGAGGUGUCAGGUUAAGUCCUAUAACGAGCGCAACCCCUACCGUUAGUUGCCAGCGAGUCAUGUCGGGGACUCUAACGGGACUGCCGGUGCAAACCGUGAGGAAGGUGGGGACGACGUCAAAUCAUCACGGCCCUUACGUCCUGGGCCACACACGUGCUACAAUGGCCGGUACAGCGGGAAGCCAUGCGGUAACGCAGAGCGGAUCCACAAAACCGGUCACAGUUCGGAUCGGGGUCUGCAACUCGACCCCGUGAAGCUGGAAUCGC
rnacentral:rRNA from 1 species